rnacentral:rRNA from 1 species
GAUGAACGCUAGCGAUAGGCUUAACACAUGCAAGUCGAGGGGCAGCAUGAUCUUAGCUUGCUAAGGUCGAUGGCGACCGGCGCACGGGUGCGUAACGCGUAUGCAACUUGCCUUACAGAGGGGGAUAACCCGUUGAAAGACGGACUAAAACCGCAUACACUGUAUUAUUGCAUGAUAUUACAAGGAAAUAUUUAUAGCUGUAAGAUAGGCAUGCGUCCCAUUAGCUGGUUGGUGAGGUAACGGCUCACCAAGGCGACGAUGGGUAGGGGAACUGAGAGGUUUAUCCCCCACACUGGUACUGAGACACGGACCAGACUCCUACGGGAGGCAGCAGUGAGGAAUAUUGGUCAAUGGGCGAGAGCCUGAACCAGCCAAGUCGCGUGAAGGAAGACAGUCCUAAGGAUUGUAAACUUCUUUUAUACGGGAAUAAC